rnacentral:rRNA from 1 species
GAGUUGGGGAUAAGCCAUGCGAGUCGACACAGCAAUGUGUGGCAUACGGCUCAGUAACACGUAGUCAACAUGCCCAGGGGACGUGGAUAACCUCGGGAAACUGAGGAUAAACCGCGAUAGGUCACUACUUCUGGAAUGGGUAAUGACCCAAACCUAUAUGGCCCCUGGAUUGGACUGCGGCCGAUCAGGCUGUUGGUGAGGUAAUGGCCCACCAAACCUGUAACCGGUACGGGCUCUGAGAGGAGGAGCCCGGAGAUGGGCACUGAGACAAGGGCCCAGGCCCUAUGGGGCGCAGCAGGCGCGAAACCUCUGCAAUAGGCGAAAGCUUGACAGGGUUACUCUGAGUGAUUUCCGUUAAGGAGAUCUUUUGGCACCUCUAAAAAUGGUGCGGAAUAAGGGGUGGGCAAGUCUGGUGUCAGCCGCCGCGGUAAUACCAGCACCCCGAGUGGUCGGGACGUUUAUUGGGCCUAAAGCAUCCGUAGCCGGUUCUACAAGUCUUCCGUUAAAUCCACCUGCUUAACAGAUGGGCUGCGGAAGAUACUAUAGAGCUAGGAGGCGGGAGAGGCAAGCGGUACUCGAUGGGUAGGGGUAAAAUCCGUUGAUCCAUUGAAGACCACCAGUGGCGAAGGCGGCUUGCCAGAACGCGCUCGACGGUGAGGGAUGAAAGCUGGGGGAGCAAACCGGAUUAGAUACCCGGGUAGUCCCAGCUGUAAACGAUGCAGACUCGGUGAUGAGUUGGCUUAUUGCUAACUCAGUGCCGCAGGGAAGCCGUUAAGUUUGCCGCCUGGGGGAGUACGGUCGCAAGACUGAAACUUAAAGGAAUUGGCGGGGGAGCACCACAAGGGGUGAAGCCUG